UGUUGGUAACAGAGGUACAGAGACAGGUUAUAUUACCUGUUGGUAACAGAGGUACAGAGACAGGUUAUAUUACCUGUUGGUAACAGAGGUACAGAGACAGGUUAUAUUACCUGUUGGUAACAGAGGUACAGACAGGUUAUAUUACCUGUUGGUAACAGAGGUACAGAGACAGGUUAUAUUACCUGUUGGUAACAGAGGUACUGAGACAGGUUAUAUUACCUGUUGGUAACAGAGGUACAGAGACAGGUUAUAUUACCUGUUGGUAACAGAGGUACUGAGACAGGUUAUAUUACCUGUUGGUAACAGAGGUACUGAGACAGGUUAUAUUACCUGUUGGUAACAGAGGUACUGAGACAGGUUAUAUUACCUGUUGGUAACAGAGGUACAGACAGGUUAUAUUACCUGUUGGUAACAGAGGUACUGAGACAGGUUAUAUUACCUGUUGGUAACAGAGGUACAGACAGGUUAUAUUACCUGUUGGUAACAGAGGUACUGAGACAGGUUAUAUUACCUGUUGGUAACAGAGGUACAGACAGGUUAUAUUACCUGUUGGUAACAGAGGUACAGAGACAGGUUAUAUUACCUGUUGGUAACAGAGGUACUGAGACAGGUUAUAUUACCUGUUGGUAACAGAGGUACAGACAGGUUAUAUUACCUGUUGGUAACAGAGGUACAGAGACAGGUUAUAUUACCUGUUGGUAACAGAGGUACAGAGACAGGUUAUAUUACCUGUUGGUAACAGAGGUACAGAGACAGGUUAUAUUACCUGUUGGUAACAGAGGUACUGAGACAGGUUAUAUUACCUGUUGGUAACAGAGGUACAGAGACAGGUUAUAUUACCUGUUGGUAACAGAGGUACAGAGACAGGUUAUAUUACCUGUUGGUAACAGAGGUACAGACAGGUUAUAUUACCUGUUGGUAACAGAGGUACAGAGACAGGUUAUAUUACCUGUUGGUAACAGAGGUACUGAGACAGGUUAUAUUACCUGUUGGUAACAGAGGUACAGACAGGUUAUAUUACCUGUUGGUAACAGAGGUACAGAGACAGGUUAUAUUACCUGUUGGUAACAGAGGUACAGAGACAGGUUAUAUUACCUGUUGGUAACAGAGGUACUGAGACAGGUUAUAUUACCUGUUGGUAACAGAGGUACAGACAGGUUAUAUUACCUGUUGGUAACAGAGGUACUGAGACAGGUUAUAUUACCUGUUGGUAACAGAGGUACAGAGACAGGUUAUAUUACCUGUUGGUAACAGAGGUACAGAGACAGGUUAUAUUACCUGUUGGUAACAGAGGUACUGAGACAGGUUAUAUUACCUGUUGGUAACAGAGGUACAGACAGGUUAUAUUACCUGUUGGUAACAGAGGUACAGAGACAGGUUAUAUUACCUGUUGGUAACAGAGGUACUGAGACAGGUUAUAUUACCUGUUGGUAACAGAGGUACUGAGACAGGUUAUAUUACCUGUUGGUAACAGAGGUACUGAGACAGGUUAUAUUACCUGUUGGUAACAGAGGUACAGACAGGUUAU